rnacentral:rRNA from 1 species
UACAGAGGGGGCAAGCGUUGUUCGGAAUUACUGGGCGUAAAGGGCGCGUAGGCGGCCUUCUAAGUCGAACGCGAAAUCCCCGGGCUCAACCCGGGAACUGCGUCCGAUACUGGAAGGCUUGAAUCCGGGAGAGGGAUGCGGAAUUCCAGGUGUAGCGGUGAAAUGCGUAGAUAUCUGGAGGAACACCGGUGGCGAAGGCGGCAUCCUGGACCGGCAUUGACGCUGAGGCGCGAAAGCCAGGGGAGCAAACGGG